rnacentral:rRNA from 1 species
AACGAACGCUGGCGGCAUGCCUAACACAUGCAAGUCGAACGAGAUCUUCGGGUCUAGUGGCGCACGGGUGCGUAACGCGUGGGAAUCUGCCCUUUGGUUCGGAAUAACAGUUGGAAACGAGUGCUAAUACCGGAUGAUGACGAAAGUCCAAAGAUUUAUCGCCAGAGGAUGAGCCCGCGUAGGAUUAGCUAGUUGGUGUGGUAAAGGCGCACCAAGGCGACGAUCCUUAGCUGGUCUGAGAGGAUGAUCAGCCACACUGGGACUGAGACACGGCCCAGACUCCUACGGGAGGCAGCAGUGGGGAAUAUUGGACAAUGGGCGAAAGUCUGAUCCAGCAAUGCCGCGUGAGUGAUGAAGGCCUUAGGGUUGUAAAGCUCUUUUACCCGGGAUGAUAAUGACAGUACCGGGAGAAUAAGCUCCGGCUAACUCCGUGCCAGCAGCCGCGGUAA